rnacentral:rRNA from 1 species
UACGUAGGUGGCAAGCGUUAUCCGGAUUUAUUGGGCGUAAAGGGAACGCAGGCGGUCUUUUAAGUCUAAUGUGAAAGCCUUCGGCUUAACCGGAGUAGUGCAUUGGAAACUGGGAGACUUGAGUGCAGAAGAGGAGGGUGGAACUCCAUGUGUAGCGGUGAAAUGCGUAGAUAUAUGGAAGAACACCAGUGGCGAAAGCGGCUCUCUGGUCUGUAACUGACGCUGAGGUUCGAAAGCGUGGGUAGCAAACAGG